rnacentral:rRNA from 1 species
UACGUAGGGGGCAAGCGUUGUCCGGAAUCAUUGGGCGUAAAGCGCGUGUAGGCGGCUCGGUAAGUCUGCUGUGAAAGUCCAGGGCUCAACCCUGGGAUGCCGGUGGAUACUGUCGAGCUCGAGUCCGGAAGAGGCGAGUGGAAUUCCUGGUGUAGCGGUGAAAUGCGCAGAUAUCAGGAGGAACACCAGCGGCGAAGGCGGCGCUCUGGGCCGGUACUGACGCUGAGGAGCGAAAGCGUGGGGAGCAAACAGG